rnacentral:rRNA from 1 species
GAUGAAUGCUGGCGGUGUGCCUAAUACAUGCAAGUCGAGCGAAUGGAUUAAGAGCUUGCUCUUAUGAAGUUAGCGGCGGACGGGUGAGUAACACGUGGGUAACCUGCCCAUAAGACUGGGAUAACUCCGGGAAACCGGGGCUAAUACCGGAUAACAUUUUGAACCGCAUGGUUCGAAAUUGAAAGGCGGCUUCGGCUGUCACUUAUGGAUGGACCCGCGUCGCAUUAGCUAGUUGGUGAGGUAACGGCUCACCAAGGCAACGAUGCGUAGCCGACAUGGGAGGGUGAUCGGCCACACUGGGACUGAGACACGGCCCAGACUCCUACGGGAGGCAGCAGUAGGGAAUCUUCCGCAAUGGACGAAAGUCUGACGGAGCAACGCCGCGUGAGUGAGGAAGGCUUUCGGGUCGUAAAACUCUGUUGUUAGGGAAGAACAAGUGCUAGUUGAAUAAGCUGGCACCUUGACGGUACCUAACCAGAAAGCCACGGCUAACUACGUGCCAGCCGCCGCAGUAA